rnacentral:rRNA from 1 species
CCGCUGGGUCACAGCGGUAGCCAUGCUGAUUCACCUCCUGCUUCUCUGCGCACAGCAGCCGCUCGAUCUUCUUCCGCAGCCGGCGCUCGCGAUCGCUUCGUGGGAGGCACCGGCUGAGACCGUGCGCGCGCUGAGCCAGGGCGAAAUCUGGCGACGCGUGCAGGCCGGUGGACUCUGGAAGGAACUCGAAGCGCAACCGGGUUUCGGCAUGGCGAUGUUCGCUUGGUCGGCGCUCGGCGCGCCGGUCGGU